AAGUGUAAUAGUUCACGGCGGGUGGUGAUCUGGAAAUUUACUUUUUAUUCCUUUUAAUGAAAAGGAAUAAAAAGUAAAUUUCCAGAUCACCACCCGCCGUGAACUAUUACAC
rnacentral:pre_miRNA from 14 species